rnacentral:rRNA from 1 species
UACGUAGGGUGCAAGCGUUAAUCGGAAUUACUGGGCGUAAAGCGUGCGCAGGCGGUAAUGUAAGACAGAUGUGAAAUCCCCGGGCUCAACCUGGGAACUGCAUUUGUGACUGCAUCGCUGGAGUGCGGCAGAGGGGGAUGGAAUUCCGCGUGUAGCAGUGAAAUGCGUAGAGAUGUGGAGGAACACCGAUGGCGAAGGCAGCCCCCUGGGCCAACACUGACGCUCAGGCACGAAAGCGUGGGGAGCAAACAGG